GAAAUAUUUUUUGAAAAGAAGGAAAAAAUUCAUGUCCAAACGGGCAAUAUCUUGGUUUCAGAAAGAAGUUGUCAUGCUUCUGCCACUUUGGCUGAACGCUCCUUUGAGAAAUACCAUCAUAACUAAGGUUGGAGGACAAGAUAUAUUCGUGAUAUGCAACAUAGUUGAACUGCAAUAAAGUGUCGUGCAAUCCAACAUAUCCAAGAGAAUACCUGCUGCAGCUGCAGCCCGUGGCCAUAUGGUUUGUUGAACAUUGGAGGCAUCUGCGGUUUCUCCCCACAUGCAUACUUCACCUCCAAGUACAAGAUUUUGCUCAGAGAUACUCUUUAUUCCUUCCAGUGGCUCUGCAUAAUAGACUUCCUCCCACGGGGCAUCUAAGUGAUCGAGAUACCAAUAACCCUGAUUGCUCCAAAUGCAUCUAA
rnacentral:lncRNA from 1 species